rnacentral:rRNA from 1 species
CAGAAAGACCCUAUGAAGCUUUACUGUAGCUUGGAAUUGACUUCAAACUUUAUUUGCGUAGGAUAGGUGGGAGGCUAUGAAGAUGAUCUUCUGGGAUUAUUGGAGCCAUCCUUGAAAUACCACCCUAAUAAUGUGAGAAUUCUAACUUUUCGCUGUGAAUCCAGCUGAAGGACAUUUUCAGGUGGUCAGUUUGACUGGGGCGGUCGCCUCCCAAAAGGUAACGGAGGCGUACAAAGGUUUCCUCAAAUCGGUCAGAAAUCGAUUGUAGAGCGCAAAGGCAAAAGGAAGCUUGACUGUGAGACCUACAAGUCGAACAGGGACGAAAGUCGGUCUUAGUGAUCUGACGGUACCAAGUGGAAGGGCCGUCACUCAACGGAUAAAAGUUACUCUAGGGAUAACAGGCUGA